CACACACACACAAGCACGUAGAGACCUGGGGAAAAAGCAACACUGAGAAAUCUACCCUCUGAAACCGACGAAGAUGGGCAACAGAGGCUAGCUCAGGUGGCAAUUUUUAAGGAAAAAUAAAAGGAAGUGCGUGGAGACCUGGGGAAAAAGCAACACGGAGAAAUCUACCCUCUGAAACUGAGAAAGAAGCGCAACAGAGGCUAGCUCAGGUGGCAAUCUUUAAGCAAAAGAAACACACAAGGGCGUGGAGAGCUGGGGAAAAAGCAACACUGAGAAAUCCACCCUCUGAAACGGACGAAGAUGGGCAACAGAGGCUAGCUCAGGUGGCAAUCUUUAAGCAAAAAAAACACACAAGGGCGUGGAGACCUGGGGAAAAAGCAACACGGAGAAAUCCACCCUCUGAAACUGAGGAAGAUGGGCAAGAGAGGCUACCUCAGGUGGCAAUCGUUAAGCAAAAGAAACACACAAGGGCGUGGAGACCUGGGGAAAAAGCAACACGGAGAAAUCCGCCCUCUGAAACUGAGGAAGAUGGGCAAGAGAGGCUAGCUCAGGUGGCAAUAGUUAAGCAAAAACAAAACACAAAGGCGUGGAGACCUGGGGAAAAAGCAACCCUGAAAUAUCUACCCUCUGAAACUGAGGAAGAUGGGCAAGAGAGGCUGGCUUCAGGUGGCAAACUUUAAGCAAAAGAAACACACAAGGGCGUGGAGACCUGGGGAAAAAGCAACACUGAGAAAUCCACCCUCUGAAACGGACGAAGAUGGGCAACAGAGGCUAGCUCAGGUGGCAAUCUUUAAGCAAAAGAAACACACAAGGGCGUGGAGACCUGGGGAAAAAGCAACACGGAGAAAUCCACCCUCUGAAACUGAGGAAGAUGGGCAACAGAGGCUAGCUCAGGUGGCAAUCGUUAAGCAAAAACAAAACACAAAGGCGUGGAGACCUGGGGAAAAAGCAACCCUGAAAUAUCUACCGUCUGAAACUGUGGAAGAUGGGCAAGAGAGGCUGGCUCAGGUGGCAAACUUUAAGCAAAACAAACACACAAGGGCGUGGAGACCUGGGGAAAAGCAGCACUGAGAAAUCUACCUUCUGAAACUGAUGAGGAUGGGCAACAGAUGCUACCUCAGGUG
rnacentral:lncRNA from 1 species